GACGUAGGGGGCGAGCGUUGUCCGGAAUUAUUGGGCGUAAAGCGCGCGUAGGCGGCUCGGAAAGUCGGAUGUGAAAAUCCGGGGCUCAACCCCGGACCUGCAUUCGAUACGGGCAGGCUAGAGUUCGGUAGGGGAGAUCGGAAUUCCUGGUGUAGCGGUGAAAUGGCGCAGAGUAUCAAGGAGGAACACCGGUGGCGAAGGCGGAUCUCUGGGCCGAUACUGACGCUGAGGAGCGAAAGCGUGGGGAGCGAACAGG
rnacentral:rRNA from 1 species